rnacentral:lncRNA from 10 species
UUGGAGGACACCCAGCUGGUGUCCACUGCUUGGUGGUGAGAAGAAACUCCCACACCUUUGGUCACAGAAGUCUUCUGUGUUUAUUGUUCUAGUGUGAGAACAGAGGAGAAGCCUGGUUUGAGUGAGUUUUUCCUGAAGCAAAAGGGAAGAGCUUAAUUUCAAAAGAAUAUCUUGAAAGACGCAUCAACUCACCAUUAGAAAACAUGAAACGACAGAUUAUAUCCUAAGAUUGUGUGAACCUCUUACCUGGAAACCCGUACAAUUGCUUUAUCUACCAAUCCUAAACUAUUAUAUCUUGAUCUUUACUCAAUCCUAAUUACACACCCACAUUGAAAGACCUAUCUUAAUUCAGACUUCAAAAUCUUACAAACGUCCAAGUCCCUCCUUUGAAAUGCUACUAAGACUGCAGUAAGAAUACAUAUGACUAAAUCCCAUUGAGCUAAAUCUCCUGAGGUUUUCCUGGAGUUGGAAGAAUCCAUCUAUUUUGCUAGGGAAGCAAAGAGAUGCUGGACCGUGACACGAAUGUGGCCAUUUCCACUGUCACCAAGCUCCCCUAGGUCUCCAUCAGCUUCAGUGACCUGGGCUCUUUCACUUCUCAGAGAUGCUCAUCUGUGCAUCUCCUGUCAGUUCUCGCUCUUUUUUUUGAGAUGGAAUCUCACUCUGUCGCCCAGGCUGGAAUGAAGUGGCACGAUCUUGGCUCACUGCAAUCUUCACCUCCCAGGUUCAAGUGAUUCUCCUGCCUCAGCCUUUCAAGUAGCUGGGAUUACAGGCGUGCACCACCAUGCCUGGCUACUUUUUGUAAUUUUAGUAGAGAUAAGGUUUCACCACGUUGGCCAGGCUGGUCUCGAACUCCUGAUCUUAAGUGAUCUGCCCGCCUUGGCUUCCCAAAGUGCUGGGAUUACAGGCAUAAGCCACUGUACCCGCCUCCUGUCAGUUCUCUUAAAAUAGCCGAGUGAUCUUUCCUUCCCAUUCAUCUGCUAUCUGUCUGCUGGCUCUUUCUUGCCAAUAAAGACUCAUUUUCUCCUAUCUAGACUUCUCUGGCAUGAGGAAUGAGCCAAUUUAAUGCAUGUCUUAGGUGGGAGUGUGGUGAGUUGCGGAAAGGAGGUUUGGGGAGCUGGAUUCUCUGUGAAAACGUGUAGCAAGGAGAAAGGUCACUGGGGAGAUUAUCAUCUGCAAGGCAUGAGAGGCUGUUCUAUUGUCAUUCACAUGUCAUCAGCCCAGUUAUUAAUACUUUCCUUCCUCUACCCCCUUGUCGUUGUUAAGGAGUUCCUUGGAAAAAACAAGUACUUUCCCUCCCCUGGUUGGUGUCUCUGUGUCUUCAAGAUACUGCCUAUUUUUUUGAGGUUUCAACACAAACAGAUCUAGUCAUGGCAAAAUGGUGACAUUAAUUCUGACUUCCCAGCUUCAACACUCUUCCCCUAAGAGGCAGAGAAUCCUAGCACAGUAAGGGGUCUUAAUGUUCUGGUCAACCCUUCUUGCCCACACUAGUCAUGGAAGUCUUUGUUGAAAUGCCCCCAGUGAAAGGAGGUUCAUUUCCACCCAAGGUAGCUCAUUCAAUUUUGCCACAACUGUGUGUGUGUGUGCGUGUGUGUAAAUGUGUGGGUGCAUGUGUGUAUGUGUGUGUUGGUCCAUGUGUGUGUGGCUUCCUCCACCCAUUAAUUGUAAUUCUAGCAGUUGGGGCCAUGAAGAAAAAUGCAACAACUCUUCUGGGCAGGAGGCUUUUAGAUGACUGAGUACUCUUUUGACAUGUUUCUUUAUUUCUUUACCAUCGAUCUCUUUCCUCCAGGAUUAGCAUAAUCAGUUCUUGUUUUUUUUUUUUUGUUUUUUUUUUUUUAUUUCUCUGAGAGGGACUCUUGGUCUAUCAGCCAGGCUGGAGUGCCGUGGUGUGAUCUGGGCUCACUGCAACCUCUGCCUCCCAGGAUCAAGCGAUUCUCCUGCCUCAGCCUCCCAAGUAAGUGGGAUUACAGGCAUGUGCCACCACGCCUGGUUAAUUUUUGUAUUUUUAUUAGAGAUGGGGUUUCACCAUGUUGGCCAGGCUAAUCUCAGACUCCUGAUUUCAAGUGAUCUGCCCACCUCAGCCUCCCAAAGUGCUGGGAUUACAGGCGUGAGCCACCACACCUGGCCAUUGCUUUUGUCUUCUUGCAGCUAUCAGUGUGUACUCCAAUGCUUCAUAAAUUUGAGUAAAAUGCAGAUUCCUUAAAAUAAAUCACAAUAUUAUGCUCUCUCUCUCUCUUCCCCUCUCUUUCUAUAUAUAUAUAUAUAUAUAUAUAUAUAUAUAUAUAUAUAUAUAUAUAUAUCUGAUUACUGACUGAAUUAGUUUUUAUUAUUUAAACCUAAGAUUUAAAACCCUUCUGUUCAUAGUCCUUAAACAUGAAACUUAAAAAUUAAGAUUAAGUGUAGAAUUAGCAAUUUAACAGGACAGAUUAAAAUGUGUUUUACUGAAGCCAAAUUAUUUUCAAUGUGAAGAUACUACUACUAUCAUAUAGCAUGCAUUUACAUUGUUUAUUGAUUCCUUGUUAUAACCCAAUUCUCCUACCAUUUGUUCUGUAUAUAAAAUGAGGAUACAAAAUGUAUUGUCUCCUCAAAGGGUUAGUGUGAGACUUGCACGAAAUCAUGCAUAUCAAGCACAAUGCUUAUUGCAGGAUAAUGGUCAAAAAUGGCAGAUAUUAUUACUAUAAUUGUUAUUGCUGGUGCUACGUUAUCAUUGGUGCUUUGUCUGCUUGCAGAUUCGAAUGGAAUACAAUAAAACCUUGCUGACAAACAUCUUUCAAGUUUAGGUCUAGUUUCCAGUCCCCAUCAUGACUUUUAAAAUUUGCUCUGAAAAUUCCUGGUCAUGACUCUUUCUAAAUUAAACAGACUUUCAAGUUGCAUAUUAAAACGUGGGUCACCUCAGGGCAAGCUAGAAAGCCAGGGAGGAGUUAUAAUGAUGUAUAAAGGACAUUCCAUGUUGCAUCUUCCUCUACUUCUCUGAAAGAGCUCAAAAUUAAUGUUCAGAAUCAAGAAAAUACUACGGACCUGUCUUCAAUAUCGUGGCUGCCCCAAGAUAGAUAAAGUUUUGAUUUUCUUUGUCUUUGAAUGUAAUACAUGGUAGUUCCUUGAAGGUUAAUGAACUGCUCACAGAGUUUUGGUAUAAUAAAUCUUUACACAAACUUUCAUGCGCGUCCGUGUGAAG